GUUCACUUCAUGAGCAGUGAGUGGAGGUUUUCUGCUUUCUGAGAUCCACGGAGAAAGAUUGUCUGCUUCCCCUCUUUUGUGAGGAUAAGCAAGAUUCAUGAGGACUGUGCCACCUGCAACACACAGCAAGUGAGCCCCCACCUUGGAGCACCCAAAGAGCUGUAACUGUAGGUAAGUCCUCCAGCCUCCCAGCACCAAGGGCACAGCUUUGGCUUCUUCCCCCAGCCCAGACCCUUCCAUGCUUGUACAGCCAUGUCUGUCAGAGUGAGGACAGCCUAGCAAAUCACAACGUCCUUCAGAGCAAACACUCCGGCUCCAGGCUCAGAGGUGUCCCAUCUCUUCCUGGAAAUGACCUGGAGUCUUAGGUAUCGCUCAGCUACGGAGAGGCGUACUCUGCUGUUCUCAUCAACCUUGACUCCUGGAAGCUUGAGGCCACGGUCGAAGUCUGCCUCCGAGUCAGUUCCUCCUGCAAAGCUGACCUUGGGCCCCAAGGAGCCUUUGGGUUGUCCUGAAGUGGUACCAGCCCUAGCAAGUGGGCAGGUUUAAAGAGCUGGAGUCAUGAGACCAGGGCUACCCAAGCUGGCCACGGUGAUCCACUCUGACCUCCCACAAGGUAUGGAUGACAGAAACCCAUAGUACAUGGGCUGAGGGGAAGGAGCUUGCAGGAUGGAGAUUUGAUCAGUGGCUGACACACCCAAGAAGCCCUCCUCAAGAUUGCAUGGCCAGGAGUGUUGGAGCCCAGCCUGACUUAAUGCUAUCUUCAAACCUGGAAUCCAGUUUGUGCUGCCUGUGUGCAGAUUAGUGUGAGCUCACUGGAGCUUGAGCCACGUACCUGCUUCUACCAGGGAUGGCUUUCAUCGGGCACUCACGAGAACUCUUUAAGAGGAUAAAGAGAACCAAGGAGGCGCAAGAGAAGGUGCCUAACGGCCAGCGAAGAGGCUGCUGUCAGCAUCCUCCAGGGAGGAAGCUGGUGACUCUGUGACAGGGAGAUGAGGAAGAUGGGCAGGUGUGGAGCAUGCUCCAGACAUUUAAGUGACAAGUUCGGCUGAUGGACAGGUGAGGUGCGUGCUGGGAAGGAGGAGGUGGAGGACAUGACAAGGAGGUCGGGUUUCAUAGAGAACCGAGACACAUGACUAUUCUUCCUGUGUCCUUCCCAACAAAAUUCACAACUCCGUACCCAGGUACACAAACAACCAAAUCAAACAUUCAUUCUGGUCCUCGCAUUUGCAGUUUGAGUGAGUGGCUUAGUGUUCUGUCUGUGCACAGUGAGGACAAUAGAACACAAAGCAUCCAUGAUUUCAAAGAACCCAAGCAGUCUCCUAGUCCCACAGACUUUAGUGCAUGUCCUAGAUGUCCUUGUCCAUUGCACAGAAUUCUCUAUUUCCAACCCUGAAUGGGGUCUGAAGUCUUAGACAUGCCUGUGGGACCCACACCAAGAGACUGUACCAUCUUUCCCCCUAUAGACUCUGGUUAAAACAAUGGCCACCCUGCUGUCCUAGAGCAGGGUGCAGAGUACCAUUAAGGGAGGGUUGUUGUUGUUGUUGUUGUUGGUUUUUUUUUUUUUCAGUACAUAGAAAAUGAAAGGUGGAAUUGUUCUUAGGAGCCAGAGGGGACACAUGGUGAGAUGAAGAAGAGCUAAAAACAGUGUUCAGUUGGGGGAGUUGGAGCCACAUUAGGUGAGUCAAAGGCUGUGUGCACUUUUCUUAUGUAUGACUUCAGUGUUGCACACGAAAAGUUUCUUCCUGGUGAAUGAAAUUGGUAUGCAUGGUGCACACACAUCAGUGACAAAAUUAAGAAACACUGAUGCAAGUGCAAAAAAAUAAAAUAUCUACCUCUGAUAUAACUAUUAAUGUCUAAAGUAUCCCUGGUCCAUCUCAUGUGCACAUGGCUCUGAGUGUCCCUGUGUGCUUCUGUGGUAAAUUCAUGCUUACAUUUGUUUUUUAAAAUGUAUUUUUCAUACUUUAAUGUUUCUGAAAUCACAAUACAUCUACUAGUUGUUUCAGUGUGUAUGCUCAAAUAUCAGGUAGUGGAUCUUACGUAGCACUGCCAUCAGAAAGGAGAUGUAUAUAGCUAUAAAAAUAGCAUUCCCUGUGUGUGCAUAAUUUGGUCUCUUGAUACCUCUGCUUAACAUUGCAUCACAAAUACUUGCACAUGCCUUGAAACGGGUUCUGAGUGUGUGACUUUUCCAGGGCACAUAAUAUUCCAGUUUGGAGAUCUCCCCCAAAUGGACCAUGUCACAGUUUUCCAUCCCUGUGACAAAAUUCCUGGGAGACAAUAAUUAAAAAGAGCAAAGGUUUAUUUUGGCUAGGGGUUUAAAGGGUUCCGUUCACGGCUGCUUGACUCAGUGAUUUGGGCCCCAUGGUGGUGCUGGACAUGAUGCAAGAAGGUCAAGGAGGUGUGAUUGCCUCCUGGUGGUCAGAAGCAAGACUCUUGUCCCUAAGGGACCCCACCUACUGGCAGUUCUAACUGGAGAACUAGCAAAGAC